rnacentral:rRNA from 1 species
AUUGACCGCUGGCGGCAGGCCUAACACAUGCAAGUCGAACGAGUCGCGGACGUGUGACUAAUGUCUUGGACACUGCCUGAUUGAGGGCGAUCACUACUGGCAUCGCUAUCUAAUCCCGCAUUCCUUCAGAUGGUCCCAGCUGGGAUUUGCUUGUUGGUGGGGUAACGGCCCACCAAGGCGACGCGCCCUUGCUGGUCUGAGAGGAUGACCAGCCAAACUGGAACUGAGACACGGUCCUGACUCCUACGGGAGGCAGCAGUGGGGAAUAUUGCACAAAGGGCGAAAGCCUGAUGCAGCCAUGCCGCGUGUAUGAAGAAGGCCUUCGGGUUGUAAAGUACUUUCAGCGGGGAGGCGUUACCGGCAGAAGAAGCACCGGCUAACUCCGUGCCAGCAGCCGCGGUAAUAC